AAGAAUCAGAAGAUGGAGAAUCAGAGGAUGAAGAACCAGAGGAUGAAGAAUCAGAGGAUGGAGAAUCAGAGGAUGGAGAAUCAGAGACUUGGAAAUCAGAGGUUGAAGAAUCAGAUGAUGAAAAAUCUAAGGAUGGAAAAAGUUAUGAAGGUGAAUGUAAGUAUUGUUUAAAGGUGGAUAAGCACCCUACGCAACUAUGCUCUUAUAGGUAUCGAGUCCCAAAGAACGCAAUUGUUGGUGAGAGUUGUGUGGUUGAAUGUCUUGUUUGUGGCUGCCUCUUUAGAGACUCAUGUUGUGCUAGUUGUGGCCUAAGCAUAGGACGUGCAGUUCUCAAGGAAUGUACAAUCUGUGGGAAGGAAGAAGAACACUCAAAUUUUGAGUGCCCGGAACGCGAGGAGAAACGUAAGGAUUCUGGUUUUACUUACGACCCUUAUACUGGUUCUUUUUCUGUCGAGAUUCGCCCUUUGAAAUAGGAGAGAAUGAAGAGUUAAUUGUACUCUAGAGUUAAAGCAAAAGAGCAAGGCGUGCUAUUUUCCAUAAAUGCUAUGCAUCCUAUCAUUUUGAUGUCUACAUCGUGUAUUGUUUUUAUCGCAAAUGAAUUGCAAUUUGCAGCACAUGGU